UACGGAGGGGGCUAGCGUUGUUCGGAAUUACUGGGCGUAAAGCGCACGUAGGCGGCUAUUCAAGUCAGAGGUGAAAGCCCGGGGCUCAACCCCGGAACUGCCUUUGAAACUAGAUAGCUUGAAUCACGGAGAGGUGGGUGGAAUUCCGAGUGUAGAGGUGAAAUUCGUAGAUAUUCGGAAGAACACCAGUGGCGAAGGGCGGG
rnacentral:rRNA from 1 species